rnacentral:rRNA from 1 species
AUGGGAAAAGUGGUCUUCGGGGCAUAUCACCUUCAAUGCAAGCUAUUUGUUUCAGAAGAAACUUUUGAUUGGCGUGUUUUAGCUCGUGGGAACACCCAACUCUUCUCUCUGGUGAACUGCACAUAG